rnacentral:rRNA from 1 species
UACGUAGGGUGCGAGCGUUUGUCCGGAAUUAUUGGGCGUAAAGGGCUCGUAGGCGGUCUGUCGCGUCGGCUGUGAAAACCCGGGGCUCAACCCCGGGCCUGCAGUCGAUACGGGCAGACUAGAGUGCGGUAGGGGGAGACUGGAAUUCCUGGUGUAGCGGUGAAAUGCGCAGAUAUCAGGAGGAACACCGGUGGUGUAGACGGCUCUCUGGACCAUAACUGACGCUGAGACACGAAAGCGUGGGUAGCAAACAGG